rnacentral:rRNA from 1 species
CCUACGGGUGGCAGCAGUAGGGAAUCUUCCACAAUGGGCGAAAGCCUGAUGGAGCAACGCCGCGUGGGUGAAGAAGGUCUUCGGAUCGUAAAACUCUGUUGUUAGAGAAGAAAGUGGGUGAUAGUAACUGUUCACGUUUCGACGGUAUCUAACCAGAAAGCCACGGCUAACUACGUGCCAGCAGCCGCGGUAAUACGUAGGUGGCAAGCGUUAUCCGGAUUUAUUGGGCGUAAAGGGAACGCAGGCGGUCAUUUAAGUCUGAUGUGAAAGCCUUCGGCUUAACCGGAGUAGUGCAUUGGAAACUGGGAGACUUGAGUGCAGAAGAGGAGAGUGGAACUCCAUGUGUAGCGGUGAAAUGCGUAGAUAUAUGGAGGAACACCAGUGGCGAAAGCGGCUCUCUGGUCUGUAACUGACGCUGAGGUUCGAAAGCGUGGGUAGCAAACAGGAUUAGAUACCCCAGUAGUC